GAUGAACGCUGGCGGCGUGCUUAACACAUGCAAGUCGAACGGAAAGGCCCAAGCUUGCUUGGGUACUCGAGUGGCGAACGGGUGAGUAACACGUGGGUGAUCUGCCCUGCACUUCGGGAUAAGCCUGGGAAACUGGGUCUAAUACCGGAUAGGACCACUCCUUGGAUGUUGUGGUGGAAAGUUUUUGGGGUGUGGGAUGAGCUCGCGGCCUAUCAGCUUGUUGGUGGGGUAAGGGCUUACCAAGGCGUAGACGGGUAGCCGGCCUGCGAGGGUGUACGGCGACCUUGGGACUUAGAUACGGCCCAGGCUCCUACGGGCGGCAGCAGGGGGGAAUAUUGAACAAUGGGCACAGGCCUGAUGCAGCAAGGCCGCGUGGGGGAUGACGGCCUUCGGGUUGUAGACGCCUUUCUCUAGGGACGAAGCGUAUUGUGACGGUACCUGGAGAAUAAGCACCGGCUAACUACGUG
rnacentral:rRNA from 1 species